rnacentral:ncRNA from 17 species
AACGCGUGACUGGCGUUAGGUGGGUAACCACCAGGGAGCUAAUCGUGCGAGCCGCGCGCCUGGGUUUGCACA